CUCAUAAGUUUGACAAUAAGAGGAACCAUUAAUGCUUUUGCUUAAUUAGCAAGCAUUUUGUGGUGUCACAAAAUCGGAGGCCCCGACUGUUUACUAAAAACACAAUUCAGAGCAAUGAUGAAAAUCAUAGUAUUCUGAAUGAAAUUUGCCCGAUGCCAUUAACAUAAAAGAGGUAAUGGGAAACUGUUACUAAUUGAAAGUCUGGUUAAUAGCGGUCUUAACUAUGAGGAUCCUAAGGUAGCAAAAUCAGUUGGCCAUUAAAUGUGGUCUGGUAUCAAUAGUGUAACGAUGGUCUCACUGUCUCUACAACUUGCUCAGUGAAAUUGAAUUAUCCGUGCAGAUGCGGAUUGCCUCCAGGUGGACGGGAAGACCCUAU
rnacentral:rRNA from 1 species